CAAUUUUCACGGAAGCUAUACUUUCCUUACGGAAAAUUACCUAUACUUAACCUUAUACUUAACUUUAACUAAUGUUUAGUUCAACUUGUAUUAAAAUCGUAUAUAUUUUGCAAAUGUUAUCGAGCUACCUUGUAGCUAAUCUGAAACCAUGCAAUUAGAGCUGCAAUGAUAACCUCAAUUUACAAUUGCGUAAGAUAUUUUUUUAAUAGAAAAUAAAAAAACCGAGGACAGAUGAAAUCCUAUCGACGUCUACAAGUCAGGACUUACAUGCUGAUGAAGUUAAUUGCACGAGUAACGCAAAAUGGAAAUGAAGUUAACGACGCUUCCUAACAACCUGGAAUCUCGGUUUAAAUGGAAACGUGUAUAGUCAGUAUAUAAAGAGGAAUACAUAUUUUGUAAAAUGAUCCUGAGUACAAUCGACUUUUGAGAACGACUAAUACGACGCUUUCAUAAAGUCAAUGAAUGCCGGUAUACGUUGUCUGCAAAACAGAUUCCUGGUAACGAUUCGCACGGCUCUGCAGGAAACCGACACGUGUGUAUCUGAUUUUCUGCAGGAACGACAAUAUUGAACAUAAUCGUUGGCGUUUCACGUGAAUCAAGCGUUGACGUAUAAGCAAACGUUAUGAUUGCUAUGCAAGGGGAACAGGUGACAUCGUCAUCGAUUGGCGUCAACAUAAAAACGACUGAAGGAUAACUGACUGCUGAUAGAUUCUGACACCGAGCGAAAAAAAACUACUAUGACAGUUUCACUGUGAACUACUUGAAAAUUCUUACAAUGCGAAGGACAACGUUGUUUAUAAACACAACAAUUUAUUCCUGAAUUCAAUGGAAAAUAUUUGCAUACUUGUUCUUUGCAUAGACUGAAGAAAAACAUCAGCGUUUAAGUAUUAUAAUUCUCAAGUAGCUCCUGAUGUAUUCUGCACAUUUAAGUCAUUCAUUCCUAAUUGCGUUUUUAUUAAAUUUAUUUUUUAAUCGAAUUGACAUAUAACAUAAUAAAGUAUGAUUUAAAUACGAAUUCGUUUUAAGUAUUGUGAUAUGCCUGUGGCUUCUGAUAUUUUAUGUACAUUUCGAUCAAAUGUAUGAAUUUUUAAUUAAAUGAUAUGUUUAUCUAUUCCAGUUCUUAAAAUACCAAGAAGUACAUCGUUCAUAAUGAAGAUCGUAUUAUAAAUGCAGCACGAUUCUUGUAUAUUCCUAUUAAUAUUUAAUUUGCAACAUUUUUUUGCAUAGAAUGAAACCGACAGAAGAGGUACACUAUGACACCAUCAGCAAUUAAAAUUAAUAUCUAGCCGGCAUAAUUUUUAAAAAACAAUCACUUUCUACGACGUAAUUGUAAAU